rnacentral:rRNA from 1 species
AGAGAGUUUGAUCCUGGCUCAGGAUGAACGCUGGCGGCGUGCUUAACACAUGCAAGUUGAACGGGCAUUGACCUUCGGGUUAAUGUCAGUAGCGGACGGGUGAGGAACACGUGAGCAAUCUGCCUUACGCUAACGGAUAACAAUGAGAAAUCAUUGCUAAUACGAUAUAAUAUCGCUUUAUCGCAUGGUGAGGCGAAGAAAGAUUUAUCGGCGUAAGAGGAGCUCGCGGCUGAUUAGCUGGUUGGUGAGGUAACGGCUCACCAAGGCAAUGAUCAGUAGCCGUACUGAGAGGUAGAACGGCCACAUUGGGACUGAGACACGGCCCAAACUCCUACGGGAGGCAGCAGUGGGGAAUAUUGCACAAUGGGCGAAAGCCUGAUGCAGCAACGCCGCGUGAAGGAAGAAGGUCUUCGGAUUGUAAACUUCUAUCGACAGGGAAGAAUAAAUGACGGUACCUAAGUAAGAAGCACCGGCUAACUACGUGCCAGCAGCCGCGGUAAUACGUAGGGUGCAAGCGUUAUCCGGAAUUACUGGGCGUAAAGGGUGCGUAGGCGGCAAGACAAGUCAUAUGUGGAAUCCCAAGGCUCAACCUUGGAAUUGCAUAAGAAACUGUCUGGCUUGAGUACAGGAGAGGUAAGCGGAAUUCCCAGUGUAGCGGUGAAAUGCGUAGAUAUUGGGAGGAACACCGGUGGCGAAGGCGGCUUACUGGACUGAAACUGACGCUGAGGCACGAAAGCGUGGGGAGCAAACAGGAUUAGAUACCCUGGUAGUCCACGCUGUAAACGAUGAAUGCUAGGUGUCGGGUCGAGAGACUCGGUGCCGCAGCUAACGCAAUAAGCAUUCCGCCUGGGGAGUACGUACGCAAGUAUGAAACUCAAAGGAAUUGACGGGGGCCCGCACAAGCGGUGGAGCAUGUGGUUUAAUUCGAUGCAACGCGAAGAACCUUACCAAGGCUUGACAUCGCUCUUGAUGCGUUAGAGAUAACGCAGCCCUUCGGGGGAGAGUAGACAGGUGGUGCAUGGUUGUCGUCAGCUCGUGUCGUGAGAUGUUGGGUUAAGUCCCGCAACGAGCGCAACCCUUAUUUUCAGUAGCUAACGGGUAAAGCCGAGCACUCUGGAGAGACUGCCGCGGAUAACGCGGAGGAAGGUGGGGAUGAUGUCAAAUCAGCAUGCCCUUUAUGCCUUGGGCUACACACGUGCUACAAUGGCUGCAACAAAGCGAUGCGAAGGGGCGACCCGGAGCCAAGCGCAAAAAAGCAGUCCCAGUUCGGAUUGCAGGCUGCAACUCGCCUGCAUGAAGCUGGAAUCGCUAGUAAUCGCGAAUCAGAAUGUCGCGGUGAAUACGUUCCCGGGCCUUGUACACACCGCCCGUCACACCAUGGGAGUUGGAAGCGCCCGAAGCCUGUGACCUAACCCGCAAGGGAAGGAGCAGUCUAAGGUGAAGCCGGCGACUGGGGUGAAGUCGUAACAAGGUAGCCGUAUCGGAAGGUGCGGCUGGAUCACCUCCUUU